GCUUGUAUUUGUGCAUUGACAUUAUAUCGAGUUGUUGUUCGAGUCGUGGAGGAGGCGGUUCCUGAAGAAGGAACUAAGAUUGUGGAUUGAAGCUUGAAGUCUUAGAAGUUACUUUUGGAAGAUUUGAAGGGAAUGGUAAGGGAAAGUUUGAAUAUGAGUUGAAAU